rnacentral:rRNA from 1 species
CUCAAUGAAAAUUUAAUAGCCGCAAACUUUGUGCUAAGGUAGCAUAAUCAUUUGUCUUUUAAUUAAAGACUAGAACGAAAGAUUUAACAUUNAUAUUUCUCUCUAAUAUAUAAUAUUAUCUAAUUUAUUUUAAAUAUAAAAAAAUAUUUAUUACUUAAAAAGACGAUAAGACCCUAUUGAACUUAACUAAAGUUAAACUGGGGUAGUUAAUUAAAUAUUAUUUUAAUUUAAAUUUUCAAAAAACCUAAUACAAUUAAAUUAUCAAGUUACCAUAGGGAUAACAGCGUAAUAAAUUUCUAUAGAUCUUAUUAAAAAAUCUGUUUACGACCUCGAUGUUGAAUUAAUAUCCUAUCAAAUGUAAUCAUUUGAUUAAGAAAGUCUGUUCGACUU